rnacentral:rRNA from 1 species
GGACCUGACUGCUAUCGGAUUGAUACUAAGCCAUGCGAGUCAUUGUAGUAAUACAAGGCAGACGGCUCAGUAACGCGUAGUCAACCUAACCUAUGGACGGGAAUAACCUCGGGAAACUGAGUAUAAUGCCCGAUAGAACAUUAUGCCUGGAAUGGUUUAUGUUCCAAAUGAUUUAUCGCCGUAGGAUGGGACUGCGGCCUAUCAGUUUGUUGGUGAGGUAAUGGCCCACCAAGACUAUUACAGGUACGGGCUCUGAGAGGAGUAGCCCGGAGAUGGGUACUGAGACACGGACCCAGGCCCUAUGGGGCGCAGCAGGCGAGAAAACUUUGCAAUGUGCGAAAGCACGACAAGGUUAAUCCGAGUGGUUUCUGCUAAAGGAACCUUUUGACAGUCCUAGAAACACUGUUGAAUAAGGGGUGGGCAAGUUCUGGUGU